GCUUUCAUGGUGUAAUGGUCAGCACACUGAGCCGGUAUUUCAGAGGUCCGUGGUUCGAUCCCCGGCGAAGGCA
rnacentral:tRNA from 1 species